UUCCCAUCCACACGCCUCCCUUUCCCAGGCACACGCCCUUCUGUGACACAAUACAAAAAAGUUUGGUGAAGAAAAAUUCUAUCACGGAAAAGAUUAUUUUGAGUGCAAAUAGUUGAUCAAGUUUGAGCCUUGAGAAGAGUGCCUGAGAGACAGAGAGAGCCUGGACAAGAUAAUUGGCAUCGAGCACAUUUGUUUUUUCUCAUUCACAAUCUAACGUUAUGGAGUCGGCCAUCCAGACAGUGGUAGGAGUGUAUCUGAAGUCUGCCAAAGGGAAGGACAGUCUCGGAGAUAAGGACUUCCAGGGCCUCGUCAAUAAACAGCUCGGCAACAUCAUGACUGGAACCAGACAGUUCCUCUGCAGUGAAGGAGAUGCGUAAGGGUUUGGACGAAAACAAAGAUGGGAAGGUCAGCUUCCAGGAAUACAUGAACUCUGAUUGGCUACGUGGCAAACACCCUCAGCGAGCAGAGGACUGCAGCCAACACACCUGCCUCAUAGGAACUACAUAUGGCUUCAUAGACACAUCUAUAAGAUGUCUUAUGCAGUCUAUAUAGGCAGGGUUCUUCAAUCCUGGUCCUAGUGACCCACGGGUGUGCAGGCUUUAGUUCCAUACCAGCACUGACACACCAGAUGAAACUCGUGAAGGCUUUGAUGGGAUUGAUUACAGUGUGUGUGACCACAGGGCCAGAAUUGAA